rnacentral:rRNA from 1 species
GACGGAGGGGGCUAGCGUUGUUCGGAAUUACUGGGCGUAAAGGGCGCGUAGGCGGAUUAGUAAGUUGGGAGUGAAAGCCCGGGGCUUAACCUCGGAACUGCUUUCAAAACUGCUAGUCUAGAGUGAAGUAGGGGGUGAUGGAAUUCCUAGUGUAGAGGUGAAAUUCUUAGAUAUUAGGAGGAACACCGGCGGCGAAGGCGGUCACCUGGGACUUCAACUGACGCUGAGGCGCGAAAGCGUGGGGAGCAAACAGG